rnacentral:rRNA from 1 species
GAUGAACGCUAGCGAUAGGCUUAACACAUGCAAGUCGAGGGGCAGCACAAGGUAGCUUGCUAUCUGGGUGGCGACCGGCGCACGGGUGCGUAACGCGUAUGCAACUUGCCCUAUACAGGAGGAUAACCCGUCGAAAGACGGACUAAUACUGCGUAUGCUCACAACUUGGCACCAAGUGGUAAGGAAAGAAAUUCGGUAUAGGAUAGGCAUGCGUCCCAUUAGCUUGUUGGUGAGGUAACGGCUCACCAAGGCAACGAUGGGUAGGGGAACUGAGAGGUUUAUCCCCCACACUGGUACUGAGACACGGACCAGACUCCUACGGGAGGCAGCAGUGAGGAAUAUUGGUCAAUGGGCGCGAGCCUGAACCAGCCAAGUCGCGUGAAGGAUGACUGUCUUAUGGAUUGUAAACUUCUUUUAUACGGGAAUAACAAGAGUCACGUGUGACUCCCUGCAUGUACCGUAUGAAUAAGCAUCGGCUAACUCCGUG